GAAAAAGUAUUGAUUGAAAAUGAAACAGCAGAAAGUGAGGAAGAAUUAAGUGGUCAUGAAGGUGAAGCAGAAAUGCAAGUAAAGCAGAUGAAACAAGCACAGGGCCAAGUUCAGGAAACAAAAGUUAACAGUGUUUGCCAAGGUCGUAAACGAGUGAAGAAGACAAUGUGAAGUGAACAAGAAAUAAGAGCAGUGGAAAAACAUUUGGCCAAAUUUAUAAAUAUAUGUAAAGUGCCAGGAAAGUGAGAGUGUGAGGCCUGCAUCCAAAAUGAACCAAAAGCUCUCAAAAAUAGAGAUUGGCUGGGUGUCAAAUUCUAUAUAAAGAACCGAAUUACCUCACUGAAGAGAGCGGUUUAAAACAAGUGUUUCCGUUAUAAAAGGUGUUCAUUUAAAAUUUAGUUAUGGGAAACAAUUUAAUCAGUUUACAUUAGGUCCUUUCAUGGUAAUUGAAAGCAACAGUUCCAAAAAGCCAGUUACUUGUUUGCUCUUUAAAUAAUUUGUAUUUCGUAUGUUUAUAUGCACUUACAUAAAGAUAUACACACGGUUAAUAUUUGCAGGCUAUUUCUUCAUUUAGAAAAAUGAAGA